rnacentral:rRNA from 1 species
AGUUCUUCCGCAUGGUAGAACUAUUAAAGAAUUUCGGUCAUCGAUGGGGAUGCGUUCCAUUAGGUUGUUGGCGGGGUAACGGCCCACCAAGCCUUCGAUGGAUAGGGGUUCUGAGAGGAAGGUCCCCCACAUUGGAACUGAGACACGGUCCAAACUCCUACGGGAGGCAGCAGUGAGGAAUAUUGGUCAAUGGGCGAGAGCCUGAACCAGCCAAGUAGCGUGAAGGAUGACUGCCCUAUGGGUUGUAAACUUCUUUUAUAAAGGAAUAAAGUCGGGUAUGGAUACCCGUUUGCAUGUACUUUAUGAAUAAGGAUCGGCUAACUCCGUGCCAGCAGCCGCGGUAAUACGGAGGAUCCGAGCGUUAUCCGGAUUUAUUGGGUUUAAAGGGAGCGUAGAUGGAUGUUUAAGUCAGUUGUGAAAGUUUGCGGCUCAACCGUAAAAUUGCAGUUGAUACUGGAUAUCUUGAGUGCAGUUGAGGCAGGCGGAAUUCGUGGUGUAGCGGUGAAAUGCUUAGAUAUCACGAAGAACUCCGAUUGCGAAGGCAGCCUGCUAAGCUGCAACUGACAUUGAGGCUCGAAAGUGUGGGUAUCAAACAGGAUUAGAUACCCUGGUAGUCCACACGGUAAACGAUGAAUACUCGCUGUUUGCGAUAUACGGCAAGCGGCCAAGCGAAAGCGUUAAGUAUUCCACCUGGGGAGUACGCCGGCAACGGUGAAACUCAAAGGAAUUGACGGGGGCCCGCACAAGCGGAGGAACAUGUGGUUUAAUUCGAUGAUACGCGAGGAACCUUACCCGGGCUUAAAUUGCAGAUGAAUUACGGUGAAAGCCGUAAGCCGCAAGGCAUCUGUGAAGGUGCUGCAUGGUUGUCGUCAGCUCGUGCCGUGAGGUGUCGGCUUAAGUGCCAUAACGAGCGCAACCCUUGUUGUCAGUUACUAACAGGUCAUGCUGAGGACUCUGACAAGACUGCCAUCGUAAGAUGUGAGGAAGGUGGGGAUGACGUCAAAUCAGCACGGCCCUUACGUCCGGGGCUACACACGUGUUACAAUGGGGGGUACAGAGGGCCGCUACCACGCGAGUGGAUGCCAAUCCCCAAAACCUCUCUCAGUUCGGACUGGAGUCUGCAACCCGACUCCACGAAGCUGGAUUCGCUAGUAAUCGCGCAUCAGCCACGGCGCGGUGAAUACGUUCCCGGGCCUUGUACACACCGCCCGUCAAGCCAUGGGAGCCGGGGGUACCUGAAGUGCGUAACCGCGAGGAGCGCCCUAGGGUAAAACUGGUGACUGGGGCUAAGUCGUAACAAGGUAGCCGUACCGGAAGGUGCGGCUG